CUCUGCAGGUGACAGCCUGGGCGAGGGAACAGAGACAGCUCUGCACACAUGCUGAUGGGAUUGCAAUACACAAUUGUGACAGCUGCAAGCACCUUCAAAAUAAAGGCAAAGUUCCAGCUGAGUGUGAUGUUCAGACUCCAGCUCCAGCAUUAAGGUAUGUGAAGAAUUCAUUCAACCUACUACUGCAUCUUGUUGAACAAAGAUGAUUUGUUUUCAUGCCCAUAGUUCCUGGACAAACCUUUGGCUAUACCUAACCAAAGACCUGCCUAAACCCAGAUGCAACACUGUGGGAAGUCAUGCCACAGUGACAUUAAAGAAGGCAUCACAAGGAGCCAGCUUUGUGGCUUCAGACAGAUGGAUCAACUGGGAAUCCUAGGCAAGGAUGACCAGAAGGCUUCUGCACAGAAGAAGCUAAAGGGAGGCACUCUAACACAGUGAAUUUAGCCAUCACUAACACUUAUCGAGUGCAUCACUAGGAAAAAACCCCAAAGGUAGCUGUAAUUCCAGUCUCUGCACUCCCUGUCUUCUAAGAACUUCCAAAGGCAGCUUGAAUUCUUCACCCUGAUGCUGGCAUGCUCAGAGUGACAUUGGAAGCCACUGCUGGCAGUCGCUGCUAUCUCAGCCCCAGCUCCCCACGCUGGCAGCAGCAGGAACGGCUGUAACUGGAUCCGUCCCAGCCCGGAGAGCCCGGGCAGCCCCACUCCCAGCCCCACUGCACAGCGGAUUUCUGCCCUGCACACUAACUAUAGACUUGAUGAAACAUUAUCAUACAUGAAGGACUAAUUAGGUGUGCUGGGCCAUUAGCCAUCUCUGAACAUUGACUGAUGAAAAACGUAAUUAAUGGCAGCUUUCAUAAACAGACUGCAGAAUGGAGAAUUGAAUUAAAAGGAAAACAGCUGUUGCUAAUGGAAAUAAGGGCCAUUUCUUGAUUAAAAUAUCUGCCUGUCUUUCCGUGGGAGUUUUUCCAGAGUGGUGGGCUGGAAGAGUGUAACGAGAUCUGGGAGCAGAGAAUCUGCAAAGCUUCCUGCUGAAGAAAGUGCAACUUCUCUGGCUGAUGUUUUUCUGGAAUUCCCUAGAUUCCACAAUCUGCUGUUAAAAUGCUGGUACAGUCAGAUCAAUAUGAAAAGCCAGUUUGUUCAAGAGCAGUUUUUCAGGCAGAGUUACAGAAUAUCAGCUGUUUGAACCCAGAGAAAAUAACAGCUCUCCUCUGUUUAUGUUUCCAAUGGGUGCAUUCAGAUUAUAGCUCAUCAAAAUGAAGAUAUUAUGGGCAACUAUGUCUCAUUUUCUUGCGAGGAAGCUGGAAUACCAAGAGCUGGUUGAGAAACCAAGGGACUGAAUUUUAAAAGUAGCACAGGCAGUUCUUCUUCCCAUCUCCCUGCCCUGCAGCACCAUCUACAGAGAUGCUGUCAGAAUCACACUCACUGCAAACCUCGGGAAGCUCCGGUUCCCCGGACAAACAAACCUGGCUCAGUGAUUAACCUGCUCAGGAAAGUGAGAGUUAGACAGCCCUAAAACCUGAAAUCCUUCUGCAGCAAAAUGAAGGCAAGAAUAUGAUCAAUUUUCCCAGGAGCUCCUCAGUCCCUGUGCAGAGAAUGCACCUCCAGCAAUGACAGAGGUAACCCAGACACUUUGCUGGUUUUUUUCUCCGGAAACUUUCCUGCAGAAGAACUUCUCUGGCAGAGAAGUGUUCAAUCUGCAAAAGGAUGGUGGGAUUUUUCAGGGCAAAAUGCACUUCACGGUCCAUUAAUCCUGAAUUUGGCACAAGCUGAUUGCUCAGGCUUCAAAAGAGUGCAAUAUUUCACCUCCUCCGUGUAUCUACUCAAUUACACAAGAUAAAACAGGGGAUUGACCUUCAUCUGAUCACUGGAGCAGAAGUUCUGCUUGCCCUUCACAUGGCCUGGGCACCCAAACAGUGAUACAAGGACAGGACCAGAGUGAAGGAGUUUCUAAGCACAAGCAAAGGAGUUUGCAAUUUAAAAGCUGGAGUUUGAAAUAUGUCUCUGAUUAACUUGCCAUUAAAAAAAAAAAAAGUAUGCUUAUCUAUUCACCUCGAAAUAGAAUGUUCUUCUGAAUAUGGAGUGUUUUUUUCCACCAGAAGCCAGAUCCAAAUGCCACAGUAGUAACUGGAAAGUUCCCCACCAGGCCCUGGCUGUGGGAGGAGGUGGGUGCAGGAAUGUGCCAGUGCAGGCAGCAUUGCUGUCUCCUGCCUCUCUGGGAGCAGCAGCAGAGAACAGGCAUUAAAAAAGAGAUAAAAUGCAAAGGAAGACACAGGCUCCAAACCUAGAGCAGUGGGCUUAGGCACAGGCAUGCAACAGCCCUGAACACUGCCAGGACACACUGAGGAGUUGUAUUUAGGGAUGUGUGCUGUCUUAGAGGGGAAAAUAUGAUCUGGGUUUUUUAUGAUCAGAUCAAGUCCAACAGUCUAAUGUGGUUGUUUGCCUUUGCCAUGUCUGUAGGGAGGACACACCAGGACCCAAUUCCUCUGAUGGUUGAGCAUAUUCUCUUAUUUCCAGCCUAUAUUUAUUGAUUACCAGGCAGAGCAGAACUACCAGCUCUUAUCUGUUAUGAAAACCUUCCAGAGUCAUCAGGUUAGUCCAGCACUGUCCACCUUCAGUAAGUAAAUCCAUGCUGCCUUUUUGGCCAGUUCUCCCUUCCAUCAUGUCUGCUAUUAUUAUUUCUUGCUAAAUUUAUCCCAAAGUCUUGUAUUUUAUUUGGAUCAGACUUCAAUCAUUUUUCCUCUUUUUAAAAGCUGGAAGAAUUUUUCCAGUUCUCAAACUGUGUUGUGUUGCUCAUGCAGGGAUGCUGUUACAGAGCCAGAUAGAAAGUGCUCUUGGAUGUCUGAGUCAGAAAUUAGAAUAUUCCAGCUGAAAGGUGCCUGUAACGAUCAUUUAGCCCAAAUCAUUGUCGCAUUAUGAUCUUGAUGAUUUGUUCCACUUGCAUGAGGUAAUUUCUGUCUCCAUGCAUUCAUUUCCUCUGUGUACAUUUCCACUACAUAUUAUACAUUCAUUUGUGUCCUGCCUCCCCCCCUUUCACCACCUCUCCCCCUCCUCUCCUUCCUCCCCUGCUACGUAUGCCUGAAGAACAUUUUGCUAUUUGUUUUAAUUUCCUUUGCUAGAUCUACCUUAGCUUUCCUUCUGGCACCUUUCCCUUUAUGCCCACACUUCCCAACUUCUAAGACGUAGUUUUCUUUGAUUAAUCCUUUUUUCCAUUCCUUCCACUCCCUUUGCUUAUUCCUAAUAUCCACUUUGAAGUGGUUAUUCACCAAGUCUGGACCCAUUCCUUGCAGAGUUUUAUCCCUCUGUGUACAAGUCCCAAAUACUUUUAUAGCCCCUGCCUAAAUUCCAAGCCUGCCCAACAUCCAAAACUUCUUUUAAGUUGGCAAAAUUCAGAAAGCAAAAUAUGCUAAUUGCUGCUGUGUACCAACUUCCAGCACAUUGGGGUUCCUACUGGGUUCAUGUUCUCCAUCCAAAUGAGAUAUUCCAAAAGGUUUUUUCUAAAAGAUCACGGUGAGACCACUAAUGGCAGGAGAAAUUUCUCUUGACCUCCAGCCACAGCAGCAGUGCCAAGAGAAGGCAGGAAGGUCAUUAGCUGUUCUCAUAGUAUAAAAAUUGUUACAGUAGAUUAAAAAUUAGCAUGAAGAAAUGAAGCACACACAUAUAUUUUUAAAGGCUCUGUCAGGCAGCCAAAGUGAAAGCAGAUUUCAGCAGACCACGAAGAAUGAGCUGCGUGCGUUAGGCCUUGCGUGGCUGGAGUUUAUUUCCUUGCUAAAUUCCAAGUUUCAGGUCUCUCCCGCUGAGGCAGAAGGGCUGCUCAAGAAAACUCCCCAAAUACCUUAAAUUAGCAGAGGGAAUUUUCCCCCCCUAUUUUUCACGGUACAAGUUUGCCCAGGCUGUUCAAUA